AACGAACGCUGGCGGCAUGCCUAACACAUGCAAGUCGAACGAGACCUUCGGGUCUAGUGGCGCACGGGUGCGUAACGCGUGGGAACCUGCCCUUAGGUUCGGAAUAACUCCCCGAAAGGGGUGCUAAUACCGGAUAAUGUCUUCGGACCAAAGAUUUAUCGCCUUUGGAUGGGCCCGCGUUGGAUUAGCUAGUUGGUAGGGUAAAAGCCUACCAAGGCGACGAUACAUAGCUGGUCUGAGAGGAUGAUCAGCCACACUGGGACUGAGACACGGCCCAGACUCCUACGGGAGGCAGCAGUGGGGAAUAUUGGCCAAUGGGCGAAAGCCUGAUCCAGCAAUGCCGCGUGAGUGAUGAAGGCCUUAGGGUUGUAAAGCUCUUUUACCCGGGAUGAUAAUGACAGUACCGGGAGAAUAAGCUCCGGCUAACUCCGUG
rnacentral:rRNA from 1 species